UUUAGUUGCAAUAAGAAUGGUGGCAGUUUCUUUAUCCCACUGAUGGCAAGCAAAGAGCUCCAGUGCUUCCACAAGAUUUCAUUGUGUAAUAAACAGUACUAGAAAUCAGGCAUCCUGUUACAUGAGGAAUGGUUUGAAAACAGGAGCUUUCAGGGCUGUCAGUACAAUGGUUCCCUAUGACCCAACCCACACAUGUGCCCAGCACCAUGCCUGCAGUGGUCAUGUGAAGGGAAGGACCAACACUAAACACUCACAAAACGCCUGUUGUGCUUUCUCAAACUGUUGCCAUAACAUGCUAAUAACUAUUUUAUGAUCUUACUAAAUAAUAAUUAGAAUUCCUAGUACCUGUCUUGGCUGAUUAAGGUAAUUAUGGUGCUUCCUAGUACGGCAGUACCUCAGAUUACUGUUGCUGUUUGCUUCUCUUGCCAAGUAUAAACCAGGAAUUUUUGCACGGCCUCGUUCAGGAACCAUUGCAGUUGGAUACGAAUUUGCAUGCGUGCAGCUGUGCUCAUCUUGUACUGCUUUCAGUGACCAGCGUGCAAUGAUAGGUCACUAAAUGUCAUUCCCUGAUUCGCGUAGACGCAUUGGGAACUUGCAUCAAAAGCAAACAAAGAGAAAAAGCAGCUCUUCUUGCACGAAUCCGCUCCCACGUGCGAAAAGCGCUGUCUAUCCUACACCUCAGCCGGAUCUGUGCAGCUGGUUGAGGCGGAGCUCGCGGCUCUACUCCGCACGAGCAGCGGCGCUGCUGGAGGAGCUGCUCCCCAGGCGCGCGCCCCGCCGCUCCGCGCGCAGGCGAAGGUGUGAGGGCGGGGAGAUGCCGGUGCUCGCAGCUCGGCCCCGGCUUCUGUCCUCAACGCACCGCGCCGCUACGGAUUUCUUCCGUCAUUUUGGGGGCUCUUAAGGAGCCGUCGAGGGUUUCUGAGACUCUGCAAUUCCGUCUCGACGCUUCCUGCGGCCGCUGGGUAUGGAGAGAAGCAGCUUUAGAAGAUGCUUUUGACAAAAAAAAACAUAUAUGUACGAAGUUUGCACUAGACAAGAAGUGAUGGAGCUGAACACAAAUGGCAGCACUAACUUCUCAAGGCACUCUUGACAGAAGUCUACACGCUGGAUAAACCCAAGUGUCCUCAGCCUCUCCUCAGAGGAAGUACCCUCUCGCCCUUUUAUCCGCUUUGUUGCCUACCUCUGCACACUUUCAAGGACCCAAACAUCAUUUUAAAUUGUGGAUUCCAGAACUGCAUGUAGUUUUCAAGAAAUAUCUUUGGCCCACAGAGUCCAGAUUGGAGAAGAUCCAGCCCAAAAGGGCAACAAAAAGGUGAAUAACUUCACAAGGUAACCUGCUUCAGCAAGGGGUUGGAAUAGAUGACCUCUAGAGAUCCCUUCAGGCCUCUGUGAUUCUGUGAUUUAGUGUGAUUCUGUGUAUGUGUUGACCUGUUCGUUCUGAAAUUGAAAUUACUUUGCCUACUAAUGCUUUUCUACUGUUCACUUGGAGGGUUUUUUAAUGAUAUUUACUCCAUUUUUCAAACUUAAAUGAAUCUACACAUUUAGUUUAUACCUGAAAUACAGAACUUGUAUAAGCAAUAGAAAUUUUAUUGCUUUCCUGUAAAGCAGUCUUCAGUUUAUUAUAACUCUG